ACCUACCUAGAAGUUGGGGAUAACACAGAGAAAUUUGUGCUAAUACCGAAUGUGACGGUUCCUGGUAGCAGGGAUUGGUUAAAGCAGCAAUGCGCUUUUAGAUGGGUCCAUGGCUGAUUAGCUAGUUGGUGGGGUAAAGGCCUACCAAGGCGACGAUCAGUAGCCGGCCUGAGAGGGUGAACGGCCACAAUGGAACUGAGACACGGUCCAUACUCCUACGGGAGGCAGCAGGUUAAGA
rnacentral:rRNA from 1 species